GACGAACGCUGGCGGCGUGCUUAACACAUGCAAGUCGAACGGAAAGGCCCUGCUUUUGUGGGGUGCUCGAGUGGCGAACGGGUGAGUAACACGUGAGUAACCUGCCCUUGACUUUGGGAUAACUUCAGGAAACUGGGGCUAAUACCGGAUAGGAGCUCCUGCUGCAUGGUGGGGGGUGGAAAGUUUCGGCGGUUGGGGAUGGACUGGCGGCUUAUCAGCUUGUUGGUUGGGUAGUGGUUUACCAAGGCUUUGACGGGUAGCCGGCCUGAGAGGGUGACCGGCCACAUUGGGGCUGAGAUACGGCCCAGACUCCUACGGGAGGCAGCAGUGGGGAAUAUUGCACAAUGGGCGGAAGCCUGAUGCAGCAACGCCGCGUGCGGGAUGACGGCCUUCGGGUUGUAAACCGCUUUCGCCUGUGACGAAGCGUGAGUGACGGUAAUGGGUAAAGAAGCACCGGCUAACUACGUG
rnacentral:rRNA from 1 species